CGUCAUUCUCACAAGACAAAGGCCUACUCUUCCUACUUGAGAACAUGGGUACUCCCUAGCCUGUGGUUGCUAUCGGUGAACCGAUGUCUGCUCGGAUGCCCAAUGGCUUCUCGCAUGUGGCUGCAUUCCUCUCUGUGUCUCAUCUCUGUGAGCCCUGGGUCUGGUCUGUGUGAUAGCGCGGUCCCUGAAGAGCAUGUCUCGAAAGGAGGCUGGGACGUGAGAAGACAUAACCCGCAAGGAGUGGAACCCCGUCAUAAACAGAAUGGAGCGCUCCAUCCACCCGUCCGUCCACUCAGCAAACGGUCGGCAGCUGCUCUCCGCCAGGCACUCUGCCCGGGGGUGGGAUCGCGCAGCAAUGACAGGCCUUCACAUUCUGCAGAGAGCGAGGCAGAAAAUUAACAAACACACGAGAGAAUAUCAGGUACGUGCAAGGGCUACAACGGAAAGUGGAGGCUCCUUUAGGAGGGUUUCACUGAGGGGCAGAUAUCUGAGCUGAGACUUGGAAGUGAAAAGGAAGUUGCUGAAAAGGUCAGGGAAGGGCCCUCCAGGCUGAGGGAACAGUGAUUCCCUGCGGUCAGAACGAGUGUGGCACGUUCAAAGGACAGACAGCCCAUGUGACAGGAGCAGGAGCAAGGAAGAGUGGGGCGAGGUGAGGUCCGAAGGUUUGAUGGGCCAGAUCAUGCCAGCCGUGAAGGCCAAGUUAGGGGGUUUUACUCUAAGUGACAGGGAAGCUACUGGACGAUUUUAGGCAGCACGGCGGAUAUUUGUCACUCUGGCUGGCCAGCAUGCAAAAGUUCUUACUGGCGGUAAUCACAAAAAGCCACGGAAGGCAGGGUCCCAGUUCUCACAAUGGAAGCCAAGGCUUAGAAGGGAUAAUGUCUCCCCUGACACUUAGAACAAGGCCAAUCAGAUGCUCCAGUGUGGGACUCUGAAUCAUGAGGGUGUGUUUCAAAGGUACAAGGCCAGUUAGAAGUUAUUAGGUGGCCAUGGUGCAAUCAGGAGCGCACAGAGAUGAGUGUCCAAGGGCAGCGGAGUCCAGCCUGCGGUGAUCGAUGGCCACUGACACGUGGCUGCCCUAAGUGUCCUGGGGAAAGGAAUCAGGCCCUGCCUCCUCAGCAAACCGUUCCAGGAGCUUCGCUGCGCAAGCCUUCCUCUGAACUUUGUUCCCCAGUCUUCCUCUGGGUUCUCUGGAGUUCCCGAGUACCUUCAAUAAAUUCCUCUUCUGUUUGAAAGUUAGCCA
rnacentral:lncRNA from 1 species